rnacentral:rRNA from 1 species
GACGAACGCUGGCGGCGUGCUUAACACAUGCAAGUCGAACGGAAAGGCCCUUCUUUUGUUGGGUGCUCUAUUGGCUAUCGGGUGUGUAACACGUGUGUAACCUUCCCUUUACUUUGGUAUAUCUUCUGGAAACUGUUGCUAAUACCGGAUAGUAGCUCCUGCUGCUUGGUGUGGGUUGGUUAGUUUCGGCGGUUGGGGAUGGACUCGCGGCUUAUCAGCUUGUUGGUGGGGUAGUGGCUUACCAAGGCUUUGACGGGUAGCCGGCCUGAGAGGGUGACCGGCAAAAUUGGGACUGAGAGAGGGACGAGAAGACAACGGGAGGCAGCAGGGGGGAAUAUGGCACAAGGGGAGGAAGCCUGAUGAAGCAACGGCGGGGGCGGGAUGACGGACUUCGGGUUGUAAAAAGAAUGAGAAUGAGACGAAGAGAGAGUGACGGUAAUGGGUAAAGAAGCACCGGCUAACUACGUG